rnacentral:rRNA from 1 species
AUUGAACGCUGGCGGCAUGCUUUACACAUGCAAGUCGAACGGCAGCACGGGUGCCUGCACCUGGUGGCGAGUGGCGAACGGGUGAGUAAUACAUCGGAAACAUGCCCAGUUGUGGGGGGACAACCACUCGAAAGAGUGGCUAAUACCGCAUGAUAUCUACGGAUGAAAGCAGGGGACCUUCGGGCCUUGUGCAACUGGAGUGGCCGAUGG